GCACUGUAGCUCAGGAACCUUGGAAACAGUUCUCCUGUUUGUCAAACAUCGCCAGACAUCCAAUUCUAGGAGAGAUUGGAACAGAACUUGGGCUGCUCUGGAGAGCCCCUCUUUAUCUCAGAAUGUUGCAUUGUUAGCACAUUCUAUAGUUAUUCUUGAGAACUAUAGACAAGAAAUGAGAGAGAACUGGGAUAGUCUAAGGCCACAUGGAGAUCUGUCUUGCACUAUGUUGACUUAGUUUAGAGGCCCCGGCUGGAGAGGAGUCAGGCCCUUUUCUUGUGGGGUCAAUUAAGUCCGAUCCUCAAUUACCUCCUUGUUUGUCUCUCAGACCCUUGGCCGCUAUUCAGUCGCCAUAUGUGCCUCGGAGCCAGAAACCACAAAAAAAGGUUUUCGCCUACUGCUGCCCUUUAUCCCUCUGGCUCAACUCUGACGCUGGUGCUCCCACGAGUGGCCCCCUGUGGCAUGGCACGCUGUGUUCUCCCCAGGGAACUCUUUAGGAGACAGGAUGUCUGAGGUCAGAAGUUCCCCCUGGUGACCAAACCAGUUAAGACUGAUGAGAUUCAAGAUCCAGCUCACUUCGCCUUUGAAGAACCUCCAACUUCAUUAUAAUUUAUUUUCCAUACUAAAUGACACUCCCACCAGUGCCAUGACAGUUUAUAAUCACCAUGACAAUGACCAGAAGAAAUUAUGAAAGGACAAAAAGGAAGACCACAACUCCGGUUCUGAGGAAUUCUCCACCCAUUCCCAGAAAAGACAAGAAUACUCCUCCCCUUGUUUUUAAUGCCCAAACCCUUCAUUAAAGAUGUCCCAUAUCUGUGACUUCCUGUCUCUCAUUAAUUGAGAAGUUAAUCUGUGAGUCAAGCUCCCACUUCUUAAGUCCAUGGCCAUUGAAUAAAGCCUGCACUGCUUGAUGCUCACUUUUGGUUUCAUGCAUUGUCUUCUCAUCACUGCAUAGAAAAAGAACCCAUUUUAAAAUCAGUAACACUUUGAUUUCUAACGGAUUAAAUUUGCCAUUUUAUUGUUUUCUGUUUGUUUGAUUUGCAUUUUGUUCUUCUGUUUCAAGUGGGUUACUUGAACAGUUUUAAGAAUUCUGUCUUUAUUUACAGUGUUUCAGAGUUCAACUCUUUGUACAGUUUAAUGUUGUUGUAGGUUUCACAGUAUACCUAACAUGUGACUUGUCAUAGUCUAUUGGUAUCAAUGGUGAGUCCUGUGAAAGUUUAUUUCCACUUAGGUCUCUUUA
rnacentral:lncRNA from 1 species